GCAAGUCGAGCGCAUCCUUCGGGAUGAGCGGCGGACGGGUUAGUAACGCGUGGGAACGUGCCCUUCUCUAAGGAAUAGCCACUGGAAACGGUGAGUAAUACCUUAUACGCCCUUCGGGGGAAAGAUUUAUCGGAGAAGGAUCGGCCCGCGUUAGAUUAGAUAGUUGGUGGGGUAACGGCCUACCAAGGGUACGAUGGGUAGCUGGUCUGAGAGGACGAUC
rnacentral:rRNA from 1 species